ACUUUUUUCUGAAUCGAAGACACUCUAGUAGGUCGUGGUCGUGGUCGCUACAAAAUGGCUCCUUUCCCAUCUAACCAUCAAGUGUAGUACAGUGCAUCAGUAAUCGUAAUAUCCAUAGUGUCUAUCGAUCUAUAAAUGGGGUAAACGAUGCCAGGGAAUGAUAGCUGCGUAGGAUCGCUCCUGCUUUCAUGUUCGAGCGGAGCGCUUGUUGCUUACACAUUUUGGAUAUUUGGCCUGCCUUUCUUCAACGAGGACCACAUUAUCCACGGCUAUUCACCCUCAAAGUCCUCCGUCAUAAAUGUACCUUUUUUUGGUUUCCUUCUCAUCUUCAUGGUGCUAGGCUGCACAGUGUUGCAUCUCCAGACAAAGCCUCAAGACUUAAAUGGAUUGGACCAACAAAUGCAAUACAACAAGGAGUAUACCCACCGACAACGCAGUACCUGCUCCGAUAAUAGAAAUAAAAUAGAUUAGUUUUUGCAAAUGCA